rnacentral:rRNA from 1 species
AUUGAACGCUGGCGGCAGGCUUAACACAUGCAAGUCGAGCGGGGUGAUGGUGCUUGCACUAUCACUUAGCGGCGGACGGGUGAGUAACGCUUAGGAAUCUGCCUAUUAGUGGGGGAAAACAUCUCGAAAGGGAUGCUAAUACCGCAUACGUCCUACGGGAGAAAGCAGGGGAUCACUUGUGACCUUGCGCUAAUAGAUGAGCCUAAGUCGGAUUAGCUAGUUGGUGGGGUAAAGGCCUACCAAGGCGACGAUCUGUAGCGGGUCUGAGAGGAGGCUCCGCCACACUGGGACUGGGACACGGCCCAGACUGCUACGGGAGGCAGCAGUGUGGAAUAUUGGACAAUGGGGGGAGACCUGAUCCAGCCAUGCCGCGUGUGUGAAGAAGGCCUUAUGGUUGUAAAGCACUUUAAGCGAGGAGGAGGCUCUUUUGGUUAAUACCCAAGAUGAGUGGACGUUACUCGCAGAAUAAGCACCGGCUAACUCUGUGCCAGCCGCCUCAGUAA